rnacentral:lncRNA from 1 species
UUUUUUUUUUAACCUUUCAGUGUCAUUGUGAGGUUUGCCACAUGCCUUGAGAAAUAAAGCCCAAUCUGAAUGCUCAAACAUGAAAGUCUGGCUGGCUCAGGCAAUUGGAAGAAGAUACCCAUGCAUGGUAACCGCUGAAUGACAAGUUAGGUUUCCUGGAGAGAAAGACCUAACUAUUCACCUUAUAUACUUAAAUAAUUGCCUCCUUUUUAAGGCAAAAUAACAGCUCCUAAAGAUGUCUCUGUCAUAGCCCCAGAAUCUGAGUAUGUUACACCUUACAUGGCAAAGGGCAAUUAAGGAUGCAGAUGGAGUUAAGGUAGCUAAUCAGCUGACCUUAAGAUAAUUAUCAAGGUGGGUCUAAUGCAAUCACAGACAUUACAGUUAGGAAAUUGCAUUGAUUUUUUGGGGGAGAAUUGUGUUUGUUGUUGGGUUACAUUAUCUGUGACUUGCAUUCUGCACGGUAAAGAUAGCAUUAGAAAAUAGUGGUUAAAAGGAGACAAUUGGCCGUAUAGGAUUAAAGAAUGUCUUUAAAAAGAUCCUGGCUAAAACAUGCUCUGAAGACACUGCUUAUCUCACAAGUCCCUAAGGACAUUCCUACCCCACCCAUCCCCACAAAGUGAGCUGGGCUGUAGAGGCUGGCAGCCAGAGGCUGAUGCCUGGGGCAACACUUCUGAAUGCUAAACCCUGGGCCAGUGCCUCAGUCUGUUCAGCCUAGUAAAACGAAACACUUUAGACUGCGCAAUUUGUGAACAACAGAAAUUUACUGCUCAUAGCUCUGGAGGCUGGAACAUCCAAGAUCAAGGCGCCAACAAAUUUGGCAUCUGGUAAGGGCCUACUGUCUGCUUCAUAGAUGCCAUUUCUAGCUGUGUACUCAAAUGGCAGAAGGAGCAAACAAAAUCCCUGCAGCUUCUUUUAUAAGGGCAUGAACCCCAUUCACAAGGGCUCCUCCCUCUGAUUUAAUCAGAGGCCUGAAAGGCCCCACACCUCUUAACACUAUCAGGUUGGGGAUUAGAUUUCAACAUAUGAAUUUUGGAGGGACACAAACAUUCAGACCAUAGCAGUCGGCAAAAGACAGAGAAGCUGAACAAGAAAAUGAAGUUUUGAAUAGUGGCUGCUGGGGGAAUUCAAGGCUGCAGUGAGUCAUGACUGCAUCACUGUACUCUAGCCUGGGUAACAUAGCGAGACCUUGUCUCAAAAAAAAAAAAAAAUAAAAAAUAAAAAUAAAAAUAAAGUAACCUCACAGAGCCAAUCAAAAUAUCACUUUUCCAAGUGAAAUUACUGUUUUUUUCUAAUAGACCAAAAUACUUGCUCAAUCACAAAAAAUUUAUUAAAUACUGGAUUUUUGAUAAACCCCUUGGAUCACACCUGAGUUUACACUAAGAUGAGAUGACUCAGGCUGGAGUCUGGUCACCAGAAAAACCAACCAUGCAAUUAGAGGAUCAGGGCUCUAAGCCAGCCCAAUCCAGAGAGGGGAAAGGAGGGGACUGGAAAUUGAAUCAUUGGCCAUGUGGUUGUACUCAAUCAAUCCUGCCUAUGUAACGAAACCCCAAUAGAAACUGGACACCAGGCUCACUGGAGCUUUUUGGUUGGUAAACACAUCAACGUGCCAGGCAGGUGACACACCCUAGUGCCUGAAAUGCCAAGUAGGACUCAGGACUCUCCUGUCCUCAAAGGCUGACUUUGAAGAGCCCUGAAACUCACAAGCAACAUGAUCCAUUUCCCGUCUCAGAUACAGUUUCCUCCUGAACUGGUUUUUAUUUGCAACCAUUAUUUCUCCAUCAUCAGAGGCUGGAAAAUGCAAAAAAUAAAGGCAGAUUUAGAAAGUGGGUACAAAUAAGUUUCAAAAAAUAAAGCUAAGAUUCUUUAUUUUAAUUAGAGACGAUGGCUAGAAACCACUGAAGGGGAGAAUUAAAAAAGAGAAAGGCUUUCACAGACAAAAAAAAUUAAGUGAGCUAAAAAAGCAACUUUACAGAGACAAACAUCCCUGACUUAGCAAUUUUGCUAGAACUGUUCAUUUUCGUCUCGGCUGGGACCAACAGAAACUGCAUGGCAAACGUUUUUCAUGUCCCGCAUGGCCUGCUGCCCACGUAACACCUCAAUGGAAGCCACAUCAAGCUCCAAACUUGGCCGCCUUGCUCAACAUGAGCGAGCCAGCCCGUGACAGAUCCAAGAAGGAGAAUACAAAUCCUCACCUCCCAAAGUGCUGGGAUUACAGGCGUGAACCACUGUGUCCAGCCUAGAAUUUUUAAGAACUAUUUUUCCUCCUUCCCAGAGUCCCAAAACUCUUCAGCCAAUUCCCAAGGCCUCCACACCCCCUUCCCAAUCCUUCCUGCUUUACUCUCAGGAGGCUCUCCUCCAUGUUCUGGCCCAGCAACCCCCUUCAGCCUUCCUCUCAAGGUGGUACCUCUCUCUGUAAACAGUAGUCUUAACCUUCCCCAGCCCCUCCAACGUGCUAGCCAUGGGCACCAAUUCCUAUAAGCCAUCCUGAGGAUCUGGCCAAAACAAACAGUUAAAUGGAUGACUAGUCAUAAAACAACAUGAUUGUAAGCUAUACCAGACACAAGAUCCACUGGCCAUGUGAGAAACGUUUCCUGACAUCCAAUUCCCAGGGACACCCUCUUAUCACAGGCUCUGUGGCUGCUAGAGGUAAAGGCUCAUUUGGGCUUAGAAGCUAAUGCUCUUCCCCAGUCUAAACUGACUUCGUAUGAUCUCACAUAAAUCUAAGCAUAAAGCCAGGACAACUUCUUCCUACCUAAGUCAGAAGAGAGAUGAUGAUUUAUAACCUGGGUGGGGGAGAACAGUGAGCCACUUCACCACCUUCAGGAUGAUCCAACUAUUUCCUCACUCUCUAAGGUGGAGAAAGCGUGUAGAGGCCACGUGCUUUAUACGCUGAAGGCUAUUUAAAGGAUUACAAAGAAUGUAAAGUCAUCUGUGAUAUGGCUUUCGAGUUAUAAAUGUCAAUGGCAGUUAAGUCUGCUGCUCUGGGAACUCCUCCAACAACAGGUUGACAACAGCCCAAGCCGACGGCUCUGGAGGAGGCUGACAGACAGCUGCUCUUUCGGUAGUUAUUCCUGAGAGCGCCAAGAGGCCUCUCCAAAGGCAGCUAGGUAUAUGACAUGCUGGGCAGAUACUGGCGUGAGAAUCGCAGCACAGUACAUGCAGGAAGAUGACCAUCUUUCCCAGAGCAUAAACCACAGCAAUGGGUGGCAGGGCUGACAGACCCAGCUCCACCCUCCCCAGUGCCAGCCUACUAUCCCCAGCUGCCCCACCUGGCAACCCUUGAAGAGCAGACUUCCCUACCUGGCAGCACUAAACCAGUUUCAGGGGAAACCCCAAAUACAAUAAAAUCAAAAUCUGUCCCAACUCACUAAUACUGCCUGGGCUCAAAUACAAAGCUCCAGCUGUCAAACUGUGUGACAGCAACCAAGUGAUCUCCAACCCCCCAUCUUUUUGUGUCUAAAACAGAGGUCGUCAUGGGGCCUCAUUAUGAAAAUGGGGAUUCACAGCCAAGGCAAGGGAGACACAGUCUGUGUGUGGGUGUCACUAUGUUGCCCAGGCUGGAACAGAGUGGCUAUUCACAGGCCCAAUUAUAGCACACAACAGCCUCAACCUUCCGGACUCAAGCGAUCCUCUUGUCUCAGCACAUCUCAUCUUUUAACGAAUAACAUUUCUGGAGGAGUUAAGUCAUUUGGCAUACUUAUUAAUAUAGAAUACUAACUAGUAAGUAGACUGACCUCAUAGGACAGAAAGCAUCAGAAAUGAGAGGCACUAAGAGAAAAUCAUAGUAAGCCCUUGCAUUCAGGAAUAACCACCCUGUGCAACCACACCUCAGGAAGCACCCAAGAGCAAGCCCCACAGACAAGCAGAACCACCCACACAGGCCCACCUCUGAGGUGCAUCCUAAUCAAGGCCCUCUCCACAUGAGAGGUUAACCUCUACAAUUCUUCCUUGGCAAGAUGAGGUCCCCAAAUUUGGUCUCAUUUCUAUUUGGCCUGUAAGACUCUGAGUGAGUGGCUUAAUCACCCAGCAGGGCCUAGCAGGCAAUACAGAAAACUCCUCCGAGACAGCAAGCCUGUAAAGGCAAAGCAUUAUCAUUUGUAACAGGAUUAAUAACAACAUGGGCUGGAAACAAACAGACACCACUGGAUUACGUUUCCAGCCUCUUCAGGGAGACCAUCGAGUUCAAUGAAGGGUUUUAUUUCUUUGUUUUUAAACAAGACAGCAUCUCCCACCAUGUGACACCAAGAACCCUCUCCAGGGAAAUCAGUUCUUGUGCAUUUGUCCUGCCAAUGACAGGCAGCCUGAGGUACAGGGAUUAAAACAGUUAGUCAGGAGAAGGUCCAGGAGGAAUUUUACAAUUCCAAUUUAAUAAUAAAAAAAAAGAAAGAAGACCAAGGGUCUCCUGAUUAAGCCUCAGCACUUUAAAAAGGGCUUAAGGGGAUCAAUAUUCCCAUGUCACAGUGCUCCUUAAGUUAUACAUUUACUUCCUUUAUUUCCUUUGGGGAAGAUUGGCAGUGCAACAUUUGGCAACAGAAAGAAGAGCUGUGAGUGACUGAGGUCCCAUGGCAGUGAGUGGGUCCCACAGGGGAUGAGUGAGUGAGGUCCCAUGGCAGUGGACGGGUCCCAUAGGGCGUGAGUGAGGUCCCAUGGCGGUGGGCGGGUCCCAUAGGGCGUGAGUGAGGUCCCAUGGCGGUGGGCGGGUCCCAUAGGGCGUGAGUGAGGUCCCAUGGCGGUGGGCGGGUCCCAUAGGGCGUGAGUGACUGCAGAGUGUGGAGCAAACCCAGCACAAGCGUGGUCCUCUAUCUACCACAGGGGAUGAGAGGAAAUCUCCAGGCACUGGUGUCAGAAGAAGCAAGGGAGGGGGCCUCCCAAUUAUUAAUAAUAUCUCCUUGCUUGGUGUCAUGGCUGUCUUGCCUGCCCAGGGGCACCUAUGGGCUGUGAAUUAGACUGCUUCUGGGCAUAGGGAGCAGAAACCAGGGGACAAUUUACAUGGAGAACUUCUCUGCUGGACACCAGGAGAGCCAGAGCUCAGGAAAAUAUAGCAUCAUGAUCCAGAGGGUUUGCUUUUUAGUAUUCCUCCUUCUGUCUCAAUGGCCUUGCUGAUAGGGGUAAACACACUACUAUCAAGACGCUAGGAGGCCAGGGAAAGGGAACAUUUACAUCUAGCACCUAAGUGCUCAGCAUUCUGCCCUUGGUGGAUCCCUCAACCUCUAUAAUUAUUCCUUUCAUUAGGCUUCAUUCAAACCAUCUGAGGUGAAUUGUUUCCUGCCAGGAGCUCUGAUACCAACUCUCAUUUUCAAUGUAAUUGCUUUCGCAAUUGAGAUGAAAUGCACAGAUGUGGGUCUAUAAGCAUGUGGGGGCAUUUCCAAGAGUUUAUUAACCUGGUAUAAGUACUAGGUUAAUAAAGAAGAGCUCACAAGGCUCAUUCAACAUCUGUGUGGCCUUGAACCCAACUCCAAAUCCAACCAGAUAACCGUGGCAAUCCCAAGACAUGGGUGUAGAGCCUCUAAAUUCUGUCUGUAGUAGAAAAAAAAUGUACAUUUCCUGAUAACUACACUGUAUAUUUUAAUUAUGGCAAUAUUUUUCAAGUACAACUUCAUGUGAAAAGAUCUGUGUUUCUUCCACUAAAAAGAUUCAACUGUGUUAUCUGCCUCAAGACAUCCAUCACAUGAAUGCCAAUAUCUUAGGAUUUAAAAGGGGGCUUUUUGAAACUUUCUAAGUAUUUAAUCAAUAGGUUCCUUUUCAUAUAGAGCUACACUGCCUGCAUAGACCGUGAACAUGUUUUUUCUUUAAUCUAAAUUUGAAAUAGCAUUUACUAUGUACUGAGCAGCUAUUAGACUUCCGUUACAGCACUGGGUUCUUUUCCCAAAUCACAGUAUUCUAAUGCUCACAUCCAUGCUGUACCAUUAUCCCAUUUUACUAAUAAAGAAACAAAAUGACUAAGAACUUCAAAACAGUCUGAUGGUACAAAAUCACUCUCUCAGGAAAAAAGAAAGAGAGCGAGAGAGAGCAGGAACCCAAACUACAUUAACAUUCAUGUUGAAAUUCCAGUUAUAAAUUAAAAGGGGGAGGCUCAUAAUGAAUGAGUUAUUUCAACAUCAGCCAAACACCACACUUAACUAAGAAUGCCCAAAACUCUCCUUAAAGGGAGGGGAAAAAAAGAGCAAACAGCCCAAUUUUCCAAAAGACCAAGGUGGGGGUUGGGAUGGAUUCCAGAAAAUGGAGACAUUGGUGAGGAUUCAAGUUCCACAAGUAUUCAGCAAAUGGUUUGUGAUCACUUUUAAAAGGUGGUCUGCACAGCAGAAUGAAUUUAGAAAGAACCAAGCAGGCCAGCGUGACCUCAUGCCUGUCCGUAUUGGAGGAGACCCCUUGUUUGGUCAGAACACAGGGCAUCUGUUUCCACAAGCCAUAAGGCCCGUUUCCCACAUCAUGACAUCAUCACUCCCUUACUUUUUAGGGAAGAAAAUAUAUAUAAAUUAAAGCUUUUACAUUUUCUUCCCAUUCCCCAAAGGAUUAUACUGAGCACCAAAUGUUCGAACUUAGUGCGUGAUAUGGUUUGGAUCUGUGUUCCUGCCUGAAUCUCAUGUAGAAUUGUAAUCCCCAGUGUUGGAGGUGGGGCCUGGUGGGAGCUAAUUGGAUCAGGGGGGCGGAGUUCUCAUGAAUGGGUUAGCACCAUCCCCUAGGUGCUAUUCUCCUGACAGUGAGUAAGUUAUUGUGAGAUAUUGUUGUUUAAAAGCAUGUAGCACCUCCCGCCUCUCUCUUCCUCCUGCUCUGGCCAUGGGAAGUGCUGGCUUCCCUUCACCUUCUGCCAUGAUGGUGAGUUUCCUUGUACCUCCCCAGAAGCCGAGCAGAUGGCCAGCAUCAUGCUUCCUCACAGCCUGUGAAACUGUAAGCCAAUUAAACCUCUUUUCUUUAUAAAUUACCCAGUCUCAAGUAUUUCUUUAGAGCAGUGCAAGAACAGACUAAUCCAGUGACCUUGAUGCCACACAGUGGUUGCUUGGAGCCCAGUGAGCUUCAUCUUCAACCGGCAUCCCUGACACACCUUGUCCUGGCCUUUCCUUCAUUCAUUCCAACGCUUCCCAGGCAUCCAGGAUGCGCCGAGCGCGGUUUCAGCUCACAGUGAAUCCUACAUCCUAGGAAACAAGAACAUGUCAGGAGUUGGGAAGAUCAUGAAAACAAAGCUCCCUGUUACAAAAUAGGCAGCAAGCAGGGGCCAGAGAUACAACCCACUUCACUCCCUGCCCACUUCUGCCCUCUCCAGUGCUUUCUCAAAUUGAGAUAUUAAUAAAAUCCACAAAACACAGAAUCAGUCUUUAACAGUAAACAAACUUAGCGGCAUUGAGUAUGUUCAUCAUGUUGUGUGACCAUCACCUCUAUCUAGUUCCAAAACAUUUAUAUCACCAUCCCCCCACCAAAUAAAACCCAGAUCCAUCAAGCAUUCUCCCCAAAACAAACACUUCCCUGACAUUUCUUCCUCUGUCAAGACAGCCCCAACACCUUCCUUCCCUUCUCAGCUUCUGAUUCAUUCCAUGGGAUUUGCAACUUGCCAAAACCAAUAAAAACGCAGAAGGCCUUGGCUCCCCAGUGCCCUUUGGUCAUGUGAAGCAUGUGACCUCAGAUAAUUAUUGGUUUUGCCCCUCUGUGCCUCAGUUCACUCAUCUGUAAAAUGGAGAUCCGAGUAACACUUACCUCACUGGAUUUGUAUGAUGAAUCAGAACUACCUGAGUGCUCACAAAUGUCCCCAGCACACUGUGAGGGCUCCAGUGUUGUCACUAUGGUCAAAAUGAUCUGUCCCAUAAAACCCAUAGGCCUGCUCCUUUUUUCUUUUUCUCCCUGUUUUGUAGCCAGUGGUUCUCCUAUUUCCAGGGGGAGAGCUGACCAUUCAUAAAGACAGCCAGAGAUCAUUGUCCUCUUCAGGGAGUGGCUCACACAACCCAGUGGGGCAGGUGCAGGCCGUGAGCCCCCAAGUGCCUCUCCAGGUCCUGCUGGUCACUCCUGAUGGAGGAAGGACUUUUUCUUCAUCACCAGCAAGUUUCACUUUACCUACUUUAGGAUUCAUGCUUUUACAGGUGUUCCAAGAGUCAGAAGGCAGGUCCUCCCUAAACCUGGGUGUAGAAGGAAGGCCACAUAACAACUCUCAACUAAAAGCUGUUCUCGAAUGGCCAGCAAGUGCAUAACCAGCACCCCUCCCUCUGCUUGCUCUGGGUUGCCAGCAGUGGCCUGGCCUGUGGAUGGCAUGUCAUCCUCUGGCACUGCUUACCUGAUGACAAGUGGUAAUCUAGCAGGGCUGUUUUACAGUCUUUGGUAUUUACAGAACCACUCUGUUAUGAAACUUUUGAUUUUGCACCUCAGCUUUUUUUUUUUUUUUUUUGAGAUGGAGUCUCACUCUGUUGCCAGGCUAGAGUGCAGUGGCGCGAUCUCGGCUCACUGCAACCUCCAUCUCCCGGGUUCAAGCAAUUCUCCUGCCUCUGCCUCCCAAGUAGCUGGGACUACAGGCACGUACCACUAUGCCCAGCUAAUUUUUGUAUUUUUAGUAGAGACAGGGUUUCACCAUGUUGGCCAGGAUGGUCUCAAUCUCUUGACCUCGUGAUCCGCCCGCCUCUGCCUCCCAAAGUGCUGGGAUUACAGGUGUGAGCCACCGCACCAGGCUGGUUUGCUUUCUUUAAAAAUGCUUCACAUUAAAAGUAUUAAUUCAGCUGAAUCAUUAGUCUAGAGAAAAAACAUUACUUUACAAUUCAUUUCCCCUAGUGCAAUGUUCUAAACCCUAUCAGUCCCAAAGCCCCUGGGGCUUACAGUGAACUUAUAACACUCUCUUUACUAUCUGAACCAAAUGCUCAGAUAACCUACCUAAACACAAUUUCAAACAUAUACAUUUAAUGUCCUAAGAUUGACAGAAAAGACAAUAAAGGAAAGUAAUUUAUGACAAAUCUAAUGUAUUUCAAUAUGCAAUUAGCUGGGCCAGACCACUCUAAAAGACAUAAUGGAGCCAUUAGAUGCCUUCAUUUUGGACGCUGAGGCCGAGGAGGUGCUGAGAGCGAGCGAGGGCUGCUAGCACAUUGUCACCUCUCAGUAGGAUGGCUCACAAUUACAUAAGCCAGAACAAGUAAAAAAAGUACUCAGCUCAGCCAGAACAAGUAAAAAAAGUAAAAAAAAAAAAAAAGUACUCAGCUCAACAUCUGGCCUUAGCAGACCUCAAACCUUAUUUAAAUACCAAUAUUUUGGCAAAUAGUUGAUUUGAAUAUGUUCAAAGGGGAGAAGAACAGAUCCUAUAACAGUAAACCUUCUUUGCAAAGAAAAAUAGUUCCUUUACAUAAAGAGCAAAGAACCAGUUCCUUAUUUGGAGUUUUGAGGACUGUGGUAGGCAGAAAAGGGGCCCCCAAAGAUGUUCAUCAUAUACUAAUCCCCGGAACCUGUGCUUAUGUUGCCUUACAGGGAGAUGGCAUUAUAUCAAGUACCUGUAGAUGGGAGAUUACGCUGCAUUAACCUGCUUGGUCUAAUCUAAUCACAUCAAUCCUGAAAAGCAGAGAACUUUUCCCAGCUUGGUGAGAGUAAAGCCUCACCUGCCACGGUCGGAGUUCACUCACGAUGCCAUGCUGCCUGGACAGCUCAUCUCGUGACUCCAGCACGCCAGGCCUGGAGCUUCCAGCCUGUACCCAUGAGAGCUCCAUGACACUCCUUUCUUUAUUGGACCUACAUGUUUCUUUUUUUGUUUUGGGGGGGUUGGAACAAGCCUGGGGGGGGGGGAAACCUUUUCCUUGAAGGAGCUCACUGGACAUAAGAAUUGCAAAGGAGGAAUGGUGAACCUCUAAAAGUUGAUCGUAUUUACCCAGGAGAAUUACAUUUGUGUGUAAUGUACAGUGAAGACUGCCCAAUAACAAUGUCAUCUUUAAACCCACCAAGCAUAAUAGCUAAAAUGCCACAUGUAUAGAAUUAAGCAACAUUAGGAACUGAACGGAUCUUUGGAGCGCAUUCAAUCCCCUCUUACUUCUCAACCUAACAGCUGAGGCCCAAAGUGGUCACAUGGGCUGAAUUAGUAUGUUCAUCUACAUUUCCCUUUAUCACUGAACUUAACUCUUCUGGGUGUGCAUUGACCAGGCUUAGACUUUAAACUCCUUGGGUAGCCAGUGACUAUUUAUUUGGCAGAAGCAUUCCGAAUCAGGAACAGGUGAGGGCAGGAAAGGAAACGGGUGCUCACUGCUAUGUCCAAUGGGAAGAUUCCACAAAGUAUGGCGAUCUUGGGUUCAGAAAAGCAUUUUGUGUGGCCUCUGCUCUCUUUCUAGGACUCCGCAGACACUGCGGGAAUGUCUUCACAGGCACCGAUUAUCAGAAAUGUUAAGGAAUGGUCCUGAUACCUCUUCCAGGUCACUCCUCACCUACCCCAUGCUC